GCAGAUGACAUGAUACUAUACAUAGAGAAUCCUAAAGAUGCUACCAGAAAACUACUAGAGCUAAUCAAUGAAUUUGGUAAAGUUGCAGGAUACAAAAUUAAUGCACAGAAAUCCCUUGCAUUCCUAUACACUAAUGAUGAAAAAUCUGAAAGAGAAAUUAAACAUUCCCAUUUACCAUUGCAACAAAAAGAAAAUACCUAGGAAUAAACCUACCUAAGGAGACAAAAGACCUGUAUGCAGAAAACUAUUAGGACACUGAUGAAAGAAAGAUGAUACAAACAGAUGGAGAGAUAUACCAUGUUCUUGGAUUGGAAGAAUCAACAUUGUGAAAAUGACUCUACUACCCAAAGCAAUCUACAGAUUCAAUGCAAUCCCUAUCAAACUACCAAUGGCAUUUUUCACAUUUUCAGAACUAGAACAAAAAGUUGCACAAUUUGUAUGGAAAAACAAAAGAGCCCGAAUAGCCAAAGCAAUCUUGAGAAAGAAAAACAGAGCUGGAGGAAUCAGGCUCCCAGACGUCACACUAUAUUACAAAGCUACAGUAAUCAAGACAGUAUGGUACUGGCCCAAAAACAGAAAUACAGAUCAAUGGAACAGGAUAGAAGCCCAGAGACAAACCCAUGCACAUAUGGUCACCUUAUCUUUGAUAAAGGAGGCAAGAAUAUACGAUGGAGGAAAGACAGCCUCUUCAAUAAGUGAUACUGGGAAAACUGGACAGCUACAUGUAAAAGAAUGAAGUUAGAACACUCCCUAACACCAUACACAAAAAUAAACUCAAAAUGGAUUAAAGACCUAAAUGCAAGGUGAGACACUAUAAAAGUCUUAGAGGAAAACAUAGGCAGAACACUCUAUGACAUAAAUCAACAGCAAGAUCCUUUUUGACCCACCUCCUAGACAAAUGGAAAUAAAAACAAAAAUAAACAAAUGGGACCUAAUGAAACUUAAAAGCUUUUGCACAGCAAAGGAAACCAUAAACAAGACGAAAAGACAGCACUCAGAAUGGGAAAAAAUAUUUGCAGAUGAAGCAACUGACAAAGGAUUAAUCUCCAAAAUAUACAAGCAGCUCAUGCAGCUCAAUAUCCAAAAAGCAAACAACCCAAUCAAAAAUGGGCAGAAGACUUAAAUUGACAUUUCUCCAGAGAAGAUAUACAGAUUGCCAACAAACACAUGAAAGGAUGCUCAACAUCACUAAUCGUUAGAGAAAUGCAAAUCAAAACUACAAUGAGGUAUCACCUCUCACCAGUCAGAAUGGCCAUCAUCAAAAAAAUCUAAAAACAGUAAAUGCAGGAGAGGGUGUGGAGAAAAGGGAACCCUCUUGCACUGUUGGUGGGAAUGUAAAUGGAUACAGCCACUAUGGAGAACAGUAUGGAGGUUCCUUAAAAACAAAACAGAACUACCAUACGACCCACCAGUCCCACUACUGGGCAUAUACCCUGAGAAAACCAUAAUUC
rnacentral:lncRNA from 1 species